UUCAGAAAACCAACCCUUUAUUCGUUUCUCACAUGUUUCAUUAAAUCAGUUCAUGAGAUCGAGAUAAUAACGCAUCCAAAAAGAUGAAGUUGAAAAGGGGGUUUCUUAUAUUCUCCAAGCAUCGGAAGCAUUUUGGGAAAAUCUGAUUUUUUUGGUCACUGAUUCUUAAUUUUGUUUAAAUGAAUCCCAAGAAUCGGAAGCUUGUUGAUUGAUUGGAAAUAUGCAGCAGUAACCAACAUAAACCUCUACAACAACAACAAUGGCUUCUUCUCUUUCUUUCAACCCCAAAUCAAAAUUAGGGUUUUCUGCUUCUUCUUCAUCUACUGAAAUUGAAGGUCUUAACAUUGCUGAAGAUGGUUCCCAGGAGGCAUCUCUGCGCUGCAACUCAGAGAAGUUGGAUGUGUUGCGCUUGCAAGAAACCGAACUUCAGGCAGGUACAAUAUGGAUCACAUUUAUGGACCCCAUGAUCAAAAUGCGUUGCUUGUUUUAAUGGUUAUGAUGGUUAUGCCAGUAAAAUUGCAAUGUGUUGCUAAGCACGAGUGAAGAGUUGAAGGGCGCGUACAUAUCCAAGGAUGGGACUUGGUUCUUGAUUUCUGGGAUGCCCUUCACGCAGCUGAAAGCAAUUUGAGUUAUAUGCUCACGUAUUUUCUGAGGAAAAGAGAAUUUUGAAGGAUGCCAGAGCCAGGCAACUCAUGCAUGCUGCAGAAGUUGCGACGUUGGAGAAAGUUAUAUAGCUAAAGCAAAACUUGCCGCUUCUAUUGCUAAUGAGAAAGCAUCACAGAUUGAAAAGAUGGCAUUGGGUAAUCUUAGUAGGUCUUUUAUUAUAGAUCAAUGCCUUAUGCAUGGCUUUCUUGGCACGAUCUGAAGAGUCUCGACCGAGUCACUCUGUAUACAAGCUGUCUCUGUCUUCCAGAAGAAAUGUUAAGGCAUGGUACAGACACGCAAAUUUCAAUUGAAUCAGAAG